GAGAAGCUUCGCGGCUGACCUUUAACUUCCCCACACCUCAGGGGACCUGAUGUGGAAGGUUCUUGCAAGCCUAUGCUCAGCGAGCUCUGGGAAAGGAAGGCCAGAUUUGGUCACAGUGAUCUCAGAGGACAGUGCCUGGACACGAUAUUCUGUGUUUGUGCUUGCAAUCUCAGAAACAGCACGAGAUUGUGGAGGCUUCACGAACUCUGAAACUUUGCUCACGAGUUGCAAGCAAAGCUGUGAGUUUUCCAAAGGUUAUUUGGCCAGAAGAGGAUGUCAGCACACAGAAGAAGAGACCACCACUGCUGGCCUUUCCAGUUCCAGCCGGACACCGCGGAGCACUGUUGACAACCGUGCAGGGCUCAUUCUCCUUCACAGAGAGGGGGCCGGGUGCGCCUCCCAGCCCAGGCCCCCAGGAGGCUCUGAGAGGGCAGAGGGGAGGGCCUUCUAAUAAGGCAUAAGCUGCUGGAAAGACAAACUCAAGCGCAAGCUGGGAGGAUCUCACUAGACCUACAAAAGUGGAAGGAAGCUGGCCGGGUGCCUGGCGCUGUGUGACCUACGCAACGAAAGGCAAGCUGAUCUUAGAAUGCUCAAAGAGGAGCAACUCUCCCAUGACCCUGUCCGUUUACACCAGAGAAGAGCAGAUAUGUCAUUCUGCUGCCAGGGCUGAGGAGGGGCAGUUUGCAUCAGGAGCAGACAAGUGGGUGCAACAGACUCUGAUUGCAAAAGUAGAGAAGAUCUCUCUGGAAGGAAACCUCCCAAUGUUUUCACCACGAGCUGUCAUGAAGAGAGACCUUGUGAAGCUCCACUCCAGCUUAGCUGCUUGCAAGGACAUCCCAGUUUCCAGGCACCAAAGUCUGGUAAAGCAGUCACUCAGCCUUCGGCUCCAGGCAGCCCCCUCAGGGAUGUUCUACUUGCUCUUCCACCCUUGGAGGCCGGGCUACCACUGUGUUCCGAAAACUGAUGAGCAUCCAGCGGGCAGCUCGCAGUCAGCUCCCCAGGCUGAUACUGGUUCCCUGGGUGAAGCGUGCCCGUGGGAAGACCCUCUACCUCUCCAGACACUUGGAUAA
rnacentral:lncRNA from 1 species